rnacentral:rRNA from 1 species
AACGGGUGGAGCUUGCGGUUUAAUUGGAUUCAACGCCGAAAUCUUACCGGGACCGACAGCAAUAUGAAGGCCAGGCUGAAGACUUUGCCGGAUUAGCUGAGAGGUGGUGCAUGGCCGUCGUCAGUUCGUACUGUGAAGCAUCCUGUUAAGUCAGGCAACGAGCGAGACCCACGCCCACAGUUGCCAGCGUACUCUCUGGAGUGACGGGUACACUGUGGGGACCGCCGCUGCUAAAGCGGAGGAAGGAAUGGGCAACGGUAGGUCAGUAUGCCCCGAAUAUCCCGGGCUACACGCGAGCUACAAUGGUUGGUACAAUGGGUAUCUACCCCGAAAGGGGACGGGAAUCUCCUAAAACCAAUCUUAGUUCGGAUUGAGGGCUGCAACUCGCCCUCAUGAAGCUGGAAUCCGUAGUAAUCGCGUUUCAACAGAACGCGGUGAAUACGUCCCUGCUCCUU